GCCUGGGGAGAAAAGGUAAAGGAAUAUCAGGCCACUAUCCAUAAUCUACGAGAAGAGUCGAGAAAUAUUACAUUCAACAAUGAUUUAUAGGCGCAUGAGGUCGAGUGUGAAAGGAGAAGAUUGGUUCGAGAAAAUGAAGCUCUCAGGGCCCUUAUUCGACAAUUGAAAAUUGCAGCCGAAAACCCAGGCCGAAGGAAGAAAGAUGAAAGGAUCAUUUAUAACCUUACUCAAAAGGUGCGUGACUAUGAAGAUGACCAAAAACCCAGGCCGAAGAAGGAAAGAUGAAAGGAUCAUUUAUAACCUUACUCAAAAGGUACGUGACUAUGAAGAUGACCUACAGAAAGCUGAGUCUAACCUAGCAAAAGCACAAACAAGGUUGGAUAAAAGAGCCGAAGGGCGUGCAACCUUCGUUAAACAAAUGAAAGAAACAUAUGAAAGAGGGGUCACAUGUUUGGAAACGGCAAUUGGCAACCUCGAAGGCGAAAUGGCUAAACAAGCCAAAAAUUAUAAGGCUGAGAGGUAACAUUGUGAUGCCUUAAUGGCACAGUUGGAAGAGGACUUACAACACUUGCAAGAGAAAAAUCACACUACCGCCCAGGUGUUAGAAGCAAGAUCCCGUCAAAUUGGUCGUCUGUUGCAGGAAAAGGGCAUCAUACAAGAGAGAGUCCGAAGGAUUGCUGACUACAUUACCACAAAGUGCAGUACGUGAAAAGACAUGAAAAGAUCCAUGUUUUUUGCCACUGUGAUGAUCUUCGUACAUCAAAUAAUGGAAGAACUCUAUCGGCUGCAAGAUGACCUGGCACGUAGGCCCGCAGCAAGACCACCUGGUGUCCCUAGGGCAGGGUUAGAGGCAUUGAUGUUUUCUUUAUUGUAUUGUCUUCCUUUACGAGUCUAUAUAUUCGCAUUUUGAGUCUAUUUUCAAUUCCUAGAAAAAUGCUUGUCCUGCGCCUUAGAGUCUUAGAAGAAGUAUGUCUUGAGUCCUUUUGUAAUUCAAUAUUAAUUUGAAGAAAAUGCCACAAAAAAUGGCUCUUUUAUUUAUCGCAUUUACCUCUUGAACUAUGUUAUAAUCUGAUUCACGCGGUGUCGUGAUACGUUGGCAAUCCUUAUCGGAUGUGGUCAUGCUUUUGUAUUUUUUUUAUUGUAUUAGGGAAAGAAAAAGAAAAAACCAAAAGGAUAAAAGAGAAAUAAGGAAUAACAUAUAAGUCAAGGAGAGAAAUAGGGGAAAGUAAAAAAGCCGGGAUGAAACAUUCAACCGUUAUGAGGCAUGUAGAAACACGUUUAACUAUAUAGGUGCAUCACACCCCAACGUGUGAUUACGUAUAUGUUUAAUAAAAUAAAUAAAGCGUUAUUAGAUCUUCGUACAUCAAAUAAUGGAAGAACUCUAUCGGCUGCAAGAUGACCUGGCACGUAGGCCCGCAGCAAGACCACCUGGUGUCCCUAGGGCAGGGUUAGAGGCAUUGAUGUUUUCUUUAUUGUAUUGUCUUCCUUUACGAGUCUAUAUAUUCGCAUUUUGAGUCUAUUUUCAAUUCCUAGAAAAAGGCUUGUCCUGCGCCUUAGAGUCUUAGAAGAAGUAUGUCAUGAGUCCUUUUGUAAUUCAAUAUUAAUUUGAAG
rnacentral:lncRNA from 1 species